rnacentral:lncRNA from 10 species
GAAAAGAGAAGAGGAAGUAGCUGAAAGAAAAAGAAAAGAUGAUGAGCAAAAAGUCCGAGUAAAGAGGAAGAAGGCCAGGGUAAGGAGACAAGCCCUGAAGGAAAGAGACAGACACCGGCACAGGAAACAGAAGCCCAAAGCCAAAGCUGAGGCACCUCAAGAGCCAGACUCUUCAGAGGAGUGGGAGGAGAGGAAGUACCUAGUGGCUCAGAGGGAUCCAUACAGUUUAACCCACAGGAAGUCGACAUUAUUGGCACCAAAGCUAAUGAUUCUCCAGGGAACACAUUGAAAACUCUGGAAGAACAGCUAAACACUCUGUACCUUCAAAAUCAAGAGGAAAUGUCAAAAUGUCAGGUUGCCA